rnacentral:rRNA from 1 species
UAUGGAGGGUGCAAGCGUUCUCCGGAUUCACUGGGUUUAAAGGGUGCGUAGGCGGAAUGGAAAGUCCGUUGUGAAAUCUCUGAGCUUAACUCGGAAAUUGCGGUGGAUACUAUCAUUCUUGAAUACUGUGGAGGUUAGCGGAAUAUGUCAUGUAGCGGUGAAAUGCAUAGGUAUGACAUAGAACACCAAUUGCGAAGGCAGCUGGCUACACAGAUAUUGACGCUGAGGCACGAAAGCGUGGGGAUCAAACAG